UGGGGAAUAUUGGGCAAUGGGCGAAAGCCUGACCCAGCAACGCCGCGUGAAGGAAGAAGGCUUUCGGGUUGUAAACUUCUUUUACCAGGGACGAAGGACGUGACGGUACCUGGAGAAAAAGCCACGGCUAACUACGUGCCAGCAGCCGCGGUAAUACGUAGGUGGCAAGCGUUGUCCGGAUUUACUGGGUGUAAAGGGCGUGUAGGCGGGAAGACAGGUCAGAAGUGAAAUGCCGGGGCUCAACCCCGGAGCUGCUUUUGAAACCGUUUUUCUUGAGUAUCGGAGAGGCAGGCGGAAUUCCUAGUGUAGCGGUGAAAUGCGUAGAUAUUAGGAAGAACACCAGUGGCGAAGGCGGCCUGCUGGACGACAACUGACGCUGAGGCGCGAAAGCGUGGGGAGCAAACAGG
rnacentral:rRNA from 1 species